GAAAUGCGAUAAGUAAUGUGAAUUGCAGAAUUCAGUGAAUCAUCGAAUCGUUGAACGCACAUUGCGCCCGCCAGUAUUCUGGCGAGCAUGCCUGUUCGAGCGUCAUUUCAACCAUCAAGCCCCCGGGCUUGUGUUGGGGACCCUGCGGCUGCCCGUAGGCCCUGAAAUGCAGUGGCGGGCUCGCCGUCCACACCUAGCGUCGUAGCAUGACACCUCGCUCAGGGCGUGCGGCGUGAUCCGGCCGUUAAACGCGACCUUAACGCAUACCACGGUUGACCUCUUAUCAGGUAGGAAGACCCGCUGAACUUAA
rnacentral:misc_RNA from 1 species